GACAGAGGGUGCAAACGUUGUUCGGAAUUACUGGGCGUAAAGCGCGUGUAGGCGGCUAAGUAAGUCGGGCGUGAAAUCCCACGGCUCAACCGUGGAAGUGCACUCGAAACUGCAUAGCUAGAGUCCUGGAGAGGAAGGUGGAAUGCUUGGUGUAGAGGUGAAAUUCGUAGAUAUCAAGCGGAACACCGGUGGCGAAGGCGGCCUUCUGGACAGUGACUGACGCUGAGACGCGAAAAGCGUGGGGAGCAAACAGGG
rnacentral:rRNA from 1 species